rnacentral:rRNA from 1 species
UACAGGGGGUGCAAGCGUUGCUCGGAAUUAUUGGGCGUAAAGCGCGCGUAGGCGGCUACUUAAGUCGGAUGUGAAAGCCCCUGGCUCAACUGGGGAAGUGCACCCGAAACUGAGUGGCUUGAGUGCGAAAGAGGGUCGCGGAAUUCCCGGUGUAGAGGUGAAAUUCGUAGAUAUCGGGAGGAACACCGGUGGCGAAGGCGGCGACCUGGGUCGACACUGACGCUGAGGCGCGAAAGCGUGGGGAGCGAACAGG